rnacentral:rRNA from 1 species
GAUGAACGCUGGCGGCGUGCCUAAUACAUGCAAGUCGAGCGAACAGACGAGGAGCUUGCUCCUCUGACGUUAGCGGCGGACGGGUAAGUAACACGUGGAUAACCUACCUAUAAGACUGGGAUAACUUCGGGAAACCGGAGCUAAUACCGGAUAAUAUAUUGAACCGCAUGGUUCAAUAGUGAAAGACGGUUUUGCUGUCACUUAUAGAUGGAUCCGCGCCGCAUUAGCUAGUUGGUAAGGUAACGGCUUACCAAGGCAACGAUGCGUAGCCGACCUGGGAGGGUGAUGGGCCACACUGGAACUGAGACACGGUCCAGCCUCCUCCGGGAGGCAGCGGUAGGGAAUCUUCCGCAUAGGGCGAAAGCCUGACGGAGCAACGCCGCGUGAGUGAUGAAGGUCUUCGGAUCGUAAAACUCUGUUAUUAGGGAAGAACAAAUGUGUAAGUAACUAUGCACGUCUUGACGGUACCUAAUCAGAAAGCCACGGCUAACUACGUG